ACGCUCGACACCUACGGGAGGCAGCAGUAGGGAAUCUUCGGCAAUGGACGAAAGUCUGACCGAGCAACGCCGCGUGAGUGAAGAAGGUUUUCGGAUCGUAAAACUCUGUUGGUAGAGAAGAACGUUGGUGAGAGUGGAAAGCUCAUCAAGUGACGGUAACUACCCAGAAAGGGACGGCUAACUACGUACCAGCAGCCGCGGUAAUCUGAGCGGGCUGGCAAGGC
rnacentral:rRNA from 1 species